AACGAACGCUGGCGGCAUGCCUAACACAUGCAAGUCGAACGAGACCUUCGGGUCUAGUGGCGCACGGGUUCGUAACGCGUGGGAACCUGCCCUUAGGUUCGGAAUAACUCCCCGAAAGGGGUGCUAAUACCGGAUAAUGUCUUCGGACCAAGGAUUUAUCGCCUUUGGAUGGGCCCGCGUUGGAUUAGCUAGUUGGUAGGGUAAAAGCCUACCAAGGCGACGAUCCAUAGCUGGUCUGAGAGGAUGAUCAGCCACCCUGGGACUGAGACACGGCCCAGACUCCUACGGGAGGCAGCAGUGGGGAAUAUUGGACAAUGGGCGAAAGCCUGAUCCAGCAAUGCCGCGUGAGUGAUGAAGGCCUUAGGGUUGUAAAGCUCUUUUACCCGGGAUGAUAAUGACAGUACCGGGAGAAUAAGCUCCGGCUAACUCCGUG
rnacentral:rRNA from 1 species